UGAAUACGAGACGCUAAGGCGUCGAAGUAGUGUAUGUCAUACUUCCAAGAAAAGCUUGCACUGUCAUAGAUAAAAAACGCCUGUACCAUAACCGACACAGGUGGGUAGGUAGAGUAUACUAAGGGGCGCGAGAUAACUCUCUCUAAGGAACUCGGCAAAAUAACUCCGUAACUUCGGGAGAAGGAGUGCCUUAUUCUUAAGGUUGCAAUAACAAGAUCCAAGCAACUGUUUAUCAAAAACACAGGUCUCCGCUAAGUCGUAAGACGAUGUAUGGGGGCUGACGCCUGCCCAGUGCCAGAAGGUUAAAGAAGCUGGUUAGCAUUUGCGAAGCUAGUAACUGAAGCCCUGGUGAACGGCGGCCGUAACAAUAACGGUCCUAAGGUAGCGAAAUUCCUUGUCGGGUAAGUUCCGACCCGCACGAAAGGCGUAAUGAUUUGGAUACUGUCUCGGAGAGGGGCUCGGUGAAAUAGACUUGUCUGUGAAGAUGCGGACUACCUGCACCAGGACAGAAAGACCCUAUGAAGCUUUACUGUAACUUGAAAUUGAAAUUGGACUUUAUUCGCGCAGUAUAGGUGGGAGGCGUUGAUUAUAAUCUUGCGGGAUUAUUGGAGCCAUUAGUGAGAUACCACUCUUGUAAUGUUAGAUUUCUAACUUUGAAUCAUUAUCUGGUCAAAGAACAGUUUCAGGCGGGCAGUUUGACUGGGGCGGUCGCCUCCCAAACGGUAACGGAGGCGUACAAAGGUUUCCUCUGAACGGUUAGAAAUCGUAUCUAGAGUGUAAAGGCAUAAGGAAGCUUGACUGUGAGACCUACAAGUCGAGCAGGGACGAAAGUCGGUCUUAGUGAUCUGACGGUACUGAGUGGAAAGGCCGUCACUCAACGGAUAAAAGUUACUCUAGGAUAACAGGCUGAUCUCCCCCAAGAGUUCACAUCGACGGGGAGGUUUGGCACCUCGAUGUCGGCUCAUCGCAUCCUGGGGCGGUAGUACGUCCCAAGGGUUGGGCUGUUCGCCCAUGAAAGCGGUACGCGAGCUGGGUUCAGAACGUCGUGAGACAGUUCGGUCCAUAUCCGGUGUAGGCGUUAGAAUAUUGAGAGGAGCCUUCUUUAGUACGAGAGGACCGAGAAGGACAUACCUCUGGUGUACCAGUUGUCGUGCCAACGGUAGACGCUGGGUAGCUAUGUAUGGAGUGGAUAACCGCUGAGAGCAUCUAAGUGGGAAGCCCACCUCAAGAUAAGUAUUCUCAU
rnacentral:rRNA from 1 species